AUUGAACGCUGGCGGCAGGCCUAACACAUGCAAGUCGAACGAGUGGCGGACGGGUGAGUAAUGUCUGGGAAACUGCCUGAUGGAGGGGGAUAACUACUGGAAACGGUAGCUAAUACCGCAUACCAUCAGAUGUGCCCAGAUGGGAUUAGCUAGUUGGUGGGGUAACGGCUCACCAAGGAGACGAUCCCUAGCUGGUCUGAGAGGAUGACCAGCCAGACUGGAUCUGAGACACGGCCCAGACUCCGACGCGAGGCAGCAGUGGGGAAUAUUGCACGAUGGACGCAGGGCUGAUGCAGCCAUGCGGGGGGUAUGAAGAAGGCCUUCGGGUUGUAAAGUACUUUCAGCGGGGAGGCGUUACCCGCAGAAGAAGCACCGGCUAACUCCGUGCCAGCAGCCGCGGUAAUAC
rnacentral:rRNA from 1 species